UACGGGGGGGGCAAGCGUUGUUCGGAAUUACUGGGCGUAAAGGGCUCGUAGGCGGCCAAUUAAGUCAGACGUGAAAUCCCUCGGCUUAACCGGGGAACUGCGUCUGAUACUGGAUGGCUUGAAUCCGGGAGAGGGAUGCGGAAUUCCAGGUGUAGCGGUGAAAUGCGUAGGUAUCUGGAGGAACACCGGUGGCGAAGGCGGCAUCCUGGACCGGCAUUGACGCUGAGGAGCGAAAGCCAGGGGAGCAAACGGG
rnacentral:rRNA from 1 species